rnacentral:tRNA from 1 species
UCCCUCAUAGCUCGGUAAAGAAUCUGCCUGUAAUGCAGGAGACCCAGGUUCCAUUCCUGGGUCGGGAA